AAGCCAUCAAUUCUGACGGAGGAGCAUUUGUGCAGCCCUGCUCCAAAACCCAAGCCAGAGCCAACACUGCUGGAGCUGCCACCAAGACAGCUUGUGACACAUUUCAAACCAUCCACCUUGCCGAGACACUCAGGGCGUCAUCCUACAGUUCAGCCUGGCUUCAGCCCAGCCAGUCCCAGCCUCGAGUGCCUUGAACAGUUUCUCCUCUGCGAUGCCCUCUGCCA